GUGAGGAAUAUUGGUCAAUGGACGAGAGUCUGAACCAGCCAAGUAGCGUGAAGGAUGACUGCCCUAUGGGUUGUAAACUUCUUUUAUAAGGGAAUAAAGUGAGGGACGUGUCCCUUUUUGUAUGUACCUUAUGAAUAAGGAUCGGCUAACUCCGUGCCAGCAGCCGCGGUAAUACGGAGGAUCCAAGCGUUAUCCGGAUUUAUUGGGUUUAAAGGGAGCGUAGGUUGACAUAUAAGUCAGCUGUGAAAGUUUACGGCUCAACCGUGAAAUUGCAGUUGAUACUGUAUGUCUUGAGUGUACAAGAGGUGGGCGGAAUUCGUGGUGUAGCGGUGAAAUGCUUAGAUAUCACGAAGAACUCCAAUUGCGAAGGCAGCUCACUGGGGUACAACUGACACUGAGGCUCGAAAGUGUGGGUAUCAAACAGGAUUAGAUACCCUGGUAGUCC
rnacentral:rRNA from 1 species